GGUAACAGGCCAGUUUCAGAAUGUUCUAUUAUUGUAGAUAUAUGUCACAUGUCAUAUGGCAUUCUUUGUUCUCAGGCAAAAUAAAGAGAUUCCCUUUACGUUGGUCUAGAGCUUUUAUUGAAGUAAUUCCUUGUCCUCUCGAUUUUCAACAGGAGUCUAAUCAUGCCUGUCAAAUCCUUUUUGUGAUAGAGCAAAGCCUCAAAGGAUGAUUUAUUUUCUGACCUUCCUUAAUGAAGAUAAUCAGAUCAUGCCCCGUAGCCUAAGAGAUGUGUCUUUGGUCCGUUGUCGUGGUUAGUGCUGCUGCGUAUGUUGUACUUGGUCUCAUAUGCUAAACUGCAAAAAUCCUCUAAAUCCCUCUAAAUAUCUUGGCUGAGUGAUCUCCUCUGGCAGUUGAUUACUCAGGUCGCCCAUAUACUGGGUAUUCUGAAUUUGCCCUACUUGUAUCAGACUGUUUCAUACAAUGUCAUACUUUUAUUUAGCAAAGGCUAUUUGAAUAAAAAGAAAAUGCUGACAUUGAAUGGAAGGGCCAGAGGCCUUAUGGAAUGCCAGAGGAAUUCUACAAAUACUCUUUCUUAGUGGCCUACGCAAUUGGGAUCUAAUUCUUCUUGGGCAGCAAGUAAAAACUGAGCUUCUAAAUGGCAUGAGUCACUGAGUUAAAGGGCUUGGUGCUGUGCCAUGCAAACAGCUCUGCUUUUUUGUAGCCUGCAGCAAGGAUGGAAGCCAGCUUUCAGAGAAGACUGAGCCUCUCAGAAAGAAGAGAAACUCAAAUCACUCUUAGGUGACAAGAAAUGAUAAUAGUUGAAGAAAUAAUGAAUCUAUUGAAAAGGAAGGCCACCGUUACACCAACGCUGUUGACACUCAUCAGCUCUGUGGAGUGUGUGUGUGCACCUGUGCAUGCGUGUGUGUAUUUUUAUCUCUAGGUUUUAAGUAAUAGAAAGCUGAUUACACUUCUUCUAACAUACUUAACUUCUUCCUCACUCUCAUGCUCUCUCCCCCUCUUCCUCUGUCCUCCUCUCUCUGUCCUUGUCUCUUCCUCUCUCCUUCUCCCUGUUUCUUUUCCAAACAGCCAAUGUGUUACAUUUUAGGGGAGAAGGGGAGUCUUUGGGGUAGAAGGAAAAGAAAGCAGAUGUUUAUACCUUGUUAAAUUGUCAAAUGUCAUAAUGCUCUUUUCUCAGUAUUUCACCUCCUCCCUCAUGUCACAUGAUUCUUCUACCUUUGCAGUCUUGAGCACACGAAACUACUUAUAUACUGGCAGAGUUUCUGUCACAUGUUGAGGUACUAAUUUUUAAACAAAUUUUGCAUAAUUUAUGUCUCUGCUUAUUUUCAGGUCUGUUUAAUGCUAGUGGCAAACAAAAUCCUAAAAGGAAAAUCUUACUAAGACCUUGCUGUUGAAACAACAAAAAAAAUGCUAAUAAAUUUUAUGUCUUUUAGCAGAGGAUUAUGGGUGCUAUUUCACACACUUGCAAUUACGGACAUUUUAUUUGAUCAUUCCUAUUGCCCACGGUGGAGGUGGGGGCGGGGCAUAGCUAGUCUGCUGUCCUGAAAAUGUUGUCAUGGAGAAGGGAACAGCCACUCAGGAUUCUGUAAACAUCUAUCCUCGUCUAUCUGUGCCAAGAAAAAAAGGGGGGGGACCAACUUAGCCCGUCUCCCAGUGUUUAAAUAAAUGCACCCAGUUAUUUUAACCAGUUUCCACUGACUUGUCAAAAAUCAUUGUGUAUAAUGAAGGUCUGCCAUUGGUAAGACUGGAUGGAAAUAUUGUGCAGUGUUGGAUUUUGUUAGUUGAACAUCUGGCAGGACAGUCUGCAUUUUUACUUGGAAAGAGGGUUCCUCAACCAGAGUGAGUUUGCUGUUGGGUUUUAGAGUGCUAACAUAUCAGAUCAGGUGGCUCUAGGCAAAAACAAAUCGGUCCCAACGGGAAAGUGAGUCAAGAAAGAAAAGCAGGAGGAGGUGAGACACUUUUCACGUGUGGAUAGAAGAUUAGAAGACACGUUUCCAGAGCCUCCUUACUGGGCCUCACAAUGGAAAGCAGGCGAUACACAAUAGGAUAAUUGUUUUUACUUCAUAUGAUUUGCAAUCGCCUAUUCUUUUUUUUUAAAUACAAUUUUGCUUUAAUACAUCCCAAGUGAGGAAAACCCAAGUAAGAGGGGAAAAAAAAGAAUUCAUGAGCAAUUUAAUUCUGGCAAAAUACGUCUGUGGUCUAAGAGCCUACUGAUUGGAAAGCAGUACUGAUGAUGAUAGUUCCUGGACUUGUUUCUUAUUUAACGUCGCUGGCAUGUGUGUCUGUGGGUCAGGUGUUUGUUUGUGUCGUAAGUGCAUGAUUUUAACAAUAAUGAAAAAUAUGCAGUGUGUUCUCUCACCCUGACUUCUGUAAGUGGGCUCUAAGUUAGAGGUUGUGCUCAAGACCAUAGAAUGUUGCUGUGGGUAUUUCUGUUAUUUAACUCUCAGGAUCUUGUGGUAGCAUAUUAGUUUCUUGUGGGAUAUUAACAAAAACGUCAUCCAGGGAAACAGUCAGUUGUAUUAAGCAUGAGUGGUAGGGGUGUGCUGACCUGACCUCCUUAUUUGUAUUCCUCAAAUUGCAGCAGUUAAUUCAUGGUACCUACUAAGGUGGACUUCCCAAUAGACUGAGACUGCCUUGUGGGUAAGACUGCAGCAUACCAAUAUUUAUAUUCGGUGCAGUUACUGACAUAUAGUAGAUAUUAAGUGAAUACUUACUGAACAGAUCCCUCCAUGAUUUAUAUUUAUUUCCAGCAAAUCUUUUAUCAUGUCAAAGAAGAAGUUUGUGGAAGAAACGGACCAUCCCAUACAAUUGUGAACUGUAUUUGCUUUGCUGUGUGUAUGUUUAACUUGAAUAUUUGUCAUCUUCACAUAGUUCUAAUUGGCUCUAUGCCAGAGACAUUUGUCUGGCAGAUGAAGAAUAAGCAGGAAAGUUAUGUACUGAAUUGUAAAGUUGUUUAUCUUAAGUAGGGGGAAACUUACCUUAAGAACACAAGAUUUACUGUGUUUAUAGCUUUUAUUUAAAUGUCUGGUCCAUUCGCCAUCUCUGAGCAGCAUGUCAUUUUGGUCACAUAACUAGUGACUCAAAGUUGGGGCUCUGGGUCCACGCAAAUCUGAGUCCAAAUCCCAGCUCUACUCCUUUCCUAAAAAUCGACACUGGACAAGGGGCUUGAUCUCUCUGAAUCUCUUGUACUCAAGGAGAAUAAUAAUAGCAUUCAGGGGAUGGCUGCAGUGUACUCUAAAGCCUCUGCAAGUGUGUGAUACAUGGCAAAAACUCAAAAAAUGAUAGUUUUUGAUUAUUUGAAUGUAUUAAAUGAACAGGUUUUCUUUGUACAGAUCUUGGAUUUGAUCAAAUUUUAGCCUUUUUAAAAGUUGUAGUUAUUUAUAAUGUUGCGGAGGUAUAGCAAAGUGAUUCAGUUAUAUAUACAUACAUACAUAUAUAUAUACACACACAUAUUCCUACAUUCUUUUUCAGAUUCUUUUCCAUUAUAUAUUAUUGUAAUAAAACAACCUGAAAAAGUUUAGCCUUUUGAUCAAAUCGUCUCUCUCUAUAUAUAUAUGUAUGUAUUUUUGUCUUUUAGGGCCUCAUCUUCAGUAUAUGGCAGUUCCCAGCUUAGGGGCCGAAUCCGAGCUGCAGCUGCUGGCCUACACCCCAGCUUUAAGUGGCACCUGCAGCCUGCACCACAGCUCGCAGCAACGCCGGGUCCUCACCCCAGUGAGCAAGGCCAGAGAUCGUGGAUACUAGUUGGGUUCAUCACUGCUGAUCCACGAUAGAAACUCCCCAUCUUCGUGUUUAUUGAUAAAUACAUUGGGACAUAAAUAUUUUACUCUUUAAAUACCAGUACAGUUAAAAUUUAAAUGUAUUGCCACCAGAGUAUAUAAUUUACAGUUCGGCUAUCUUAGUUAUCAAGUAAAAUUGCAUAAAAUUUUUUUCCUCAGAUUUAUUUCUGAUACUCACAUAUUCAGCCAAUUUCAUAGAUGGUAGAUAGAGUGGGUCAGUAUAUUUUAGCAUAUCUUUAUACUUUUAAAGACUCCUUAAAUGCUCAAUUCUUGAAGCAGUCAUUUCCAGAUGCUGUACUGGGUCCUGAGAAUGGAGGAUGUAAAUGACACCUCUCAGCUUUCCAGGCACUCAGAGGCUAAGAAAGAAAAACAUUUCAGGAAGGUCCCGUCAUCAUGGCUCAGCGGAAACGAAUCUGGCUAGUAUCAAUUAGGAUGUGGGUUUGAUCCCUGUCCUUGCU
rnacentral:lncRNA from 1 species